rnacentral:misc_RNA from 1 species
AAGUCGUAACAAGGUAACCGUAGGUGAACCUGCGGUUGGAUCAUUACAGAAAAUAUGAUUUUCUUCUGCUUGUUUUUGCAGGCAGAAGAAAAACAAAUCAUAAAUUCAACACCCAACCUGUGAACCGUUUAUUGUACUUGUUUGGCAGCCCACCUCAAACAUUUAUGUUUGGCAAGGAGGAGGAUUGGGCGGCAAGAAACAAAAUUUGUUUCCCCGCCCGCCCCCUCUGGGGCUGUCGAACGCAAAAUUUAAACAAACUCGUUAUGCGUAUCUUUAUUAGUCUACUUUUUUUUAAUAUAAAAAAAACUUAUUAAAAAGAAAAACAACUUUUGACAACGGAUCUCUUGGCUCUC